GGCCCGUUGGUCAAGCGGUUAAGACACCGCCCUUUCACGGCGAUAACACGGGUUCGAGUCCCGUACGGGUCA
rnacentral:tRNA from 1 species